UGGACCAGUGAUGAAUGUCAUGGGGUUUCUGAAGCAAGAAUUUUGAUUAAAUCUUAAAACUGAGGUCCAU
rfam:Myotis davidii contig131787, whole genome shotgun sequence.